GUAAAGCGGAUAAUCGCGGCUGCCUCUGGCAGGUGAGGAAAGUCCGGGCUUCACAGGGCAGGAUGCCGGAUAACGUCCGGUGGAGGUGACUCCAAGGCUAGUGCAACAGAGAUAUACCGCCGUUGCAUACAUGCAGCGGUAAGGGUGGAAAGGCAGUGUAAGAGACUACCGUUUCAGUGGUAACGCUGGAAGCCAUGUAAACCCCAUCCGAAGCAAGACCAGACAAAAGCGGUACGGCGGCCCGUCGUGCUUUUGGGUAGGUCGCUUGAGCCUGCUGGUAACAGCAGGACCAGAUAGAUGAUUAUCACGUACAGUUUUGUAUUUGACAUAACCCGGCUUACAGCUUUGCUCAA
rnacentral:RNase_P_RNA from 1 species